UCUUCCGUAGUAUAGUGGUCAGUAUGCAAGCUUGUCACGCUUGAGACCCGUUCAAUUCCCGGCGGGAGAG
rnacentral:tRNA from 1 species